UAAAGACCCUCGAUGCGGGGGCAUCACGCUAAGGCUUGGAGCUGGCGGUGGUACCAGGUGCGUUGCAGGAAUGGAGAGGGAGAUGAAGAAGGAAGGCCGCACCAGAAACGGGAAGGGGCAAUGGCAACAUCAGUUUAUGGCCCAGUUUAUUCUGUGCAAAACCACAGAGCCUGUUUUUUCCUACCCUGGAAGCUGCGAGAGAGAGGGAAACUCCUAUUCGGUCCCUAUGCCAGUGCAAGACUGAUUCCAGCAUGGAGCAUUUAGGGAAGAUUAAAGAGAAAGACAAAGCAGGCAAGAUUCACACCACCUUGGUGUUAGCAUGCAGCCCUGGGCUCUGCGCUUAGCUUCCCGGAGGCCUGACUGCUCCAGCCCCUUCUACCUGCCACGUGUGUUUUGUGCUGGGAGAAGCUGCCAGGAUCAAGAUCAGAUCCCCAUCUUAAGGCCAUGGCGUGCCUUGUGGAGUUAGUUAUUUUUCCUCCCUCUUUCCCCCUUGCCAUCUCUGCCGAGCAGAAGGAUCAUUUUCUGCUGUUAAUUCAAAUCCAGUGGAUGGAAGAAGGACGGAUAAAAGCUGGUUCCACUUCAAGACGGUGGGCUCGAUUGCUACGAUUCGCAUAUAGCAGAGUUCAUCCAAAGCAAUUGUUUUCCCUGCAAAGGUGUGACGUGCAACAGGGAAAUUGCUGUCUUCUCCGAAACGACAACCCUGCCAUGUCACCACGUGGACGGAGCAGCUGUUGGGGAAACAGGACGCGGGGCCCCGUUCUCCGUUCUCUAACAGGCUCCCAAUGGGAUUUCAACUGAUCCUUUCCCCUUUUUAUGCUCCGGCUUUUUCCCCCCCUUCGUAAAACAACGAUGCUGACCCUGCCCUGCUGUCUGCGGCUUCAAAGUGCCAGGAGAGUCACAAAAUGCUUUUUUUUAAAAUGUGUUGGGUAAAACUUGUUUAUUUGUUGAAAAAUGCAGCUGGAGAUGGAGCGAAGCAUUUCACAGAUUCACACUGACAUCAGCAAAUUGCUUUGGUCGGGGAGGGAGGGAAAAAAUCCUAAAAAAGAAGGCAUCGGUAAUUAAAAUGCUUCAAGUUUUCGAAGCGACCCGUUUCAUUUUCCUUACGCAAGAUGACAUUUUGUUUCCGUUAAUCGUCUUUUUGAUGAAAAUAUUAAAAUGGCCCGAAACACUACCAUGUAUCUUUCUGGGCAAAACAUUUUAUGCAACUUGGGGGGAAAAAAAAGGGAGGGGUUUGUGCAAAAAGUUGAGGGAUUUUUCCAAUUCAGCAUACUGAAAAAUCAGCGAUUCAUCAGAUCCGGUCGUGGAUUUUGUUUGGAGUGACCCUAAUUUGGCAAGGUUUGGGGGGGCAGCCCCCAGAGCCGGGCCUGCUUGUGUCGCUGCACGCUCAACGCACUGGCUUUUUUACUCAGACUUGCCAGAGGAAGAAGAAAGGCUUGGCGGCGAGGGGGACUUCGCAGGAUUGGGAGCGGCGAUCCG
rnacentral:lncRNA from 1 species